rnacentral:rRNA from 1 species
UGCAGCCGAGCGGUAGAGAUCUUUCGGGAUCUUGAGAGCGGCGUACGGGUGCGGAACACGUGUGCAACCUGCCUUUAUCAGGGGGAUAGCCUUUCGAAAGGAAGAUUAAUACCCCAUAAUAUAUCGAGUGGCAUCACUUGAUAUUGAAAACUCCGGUGGAUAGAGAUGGGCACGCGCAAGAUUAGAUAGUUGGUGAGGUAACGGCUCACCAAGUCUGCGAUCUUUAGGGGGCCUGAGAGGGUGAUCCCCCACACUGGUACUGAGACACGGACCAGACUCCUACGGGAGGCAGCAGUGAGGAAUAUUGGACAAUGGGUGCGAGCCUGAUCCAGCCAUCCCGCGUGAAGGAUGACGGCCCUAUGGGUUGUAAACUUCUUUUGUAUAGGGAUAAACCUACCCUCGUGAGGGUAGCUGAAGGUACUAUACGAAUAAGCACCGGCUAACUCCGUGCCAGCAGCCGCGGUAAUACGGAGGGUGCAAGCGUUAUCCGGAUUUAUUGGGUUUAAAGGGUCCGUAGGCGGAUCUGUAAGUCAGUGGUGAAAUCUCACAGCUUAACUGUGAAACUGCCAUUGAUACUGCAGGUCUUGAGUGUUGUUGAAGUAGCUGGAAUAAGUAGUGUAGCGGUGAAAUGCAUAGAUAUUACUUAGAACACCAAUUGCGAAGGCAGGUUACUAAGCAACAACUGACGCUGAUGGACGAAAGCGUGGGGAGCGAACAGGAUUAGAUACCCUGGUAGUCCACGCCGUAAACGAUGCUAACUCGUUUUUGGUAUUUCGGUAUCAGAGACUAAGCGAAAGUGAUAAGUUAGCCACCUGGGGAGUACGAACGCAAGUUUGAAACUCAAAGGAAUUGACGGGGGCCCGCACAAGCGGUGGAUUAUGUGGUUUAAUUCGAUGAUACGCGAGGAACCUUACCAAGGCUUAAAUGGGAAAUGACAGGCUUAAAAAUAGGUUUUCUUCGAAAUUUUUCAGGG